CAAAACAAUGAAACAUCAUCAUCAACUUCAUCAGUCAUCACCAACAACAACAACAACAACAAAAUUAUUUCUCGGCUUUGGAGGGAAUCUUGGUAGCAUCUUCAGAAUUCAUGGAUGAUGCAGAUGUGUGUUGUAGUCCAUCGCUGGAUCAUAGCGAUAUCAACGAUCCAAUGAUAAUUGCUGUGGAAUCUCUAGACUUGAGCAAAAAGAGAAAACUGCGUGGUGAAGAAUCAGACUUGUUACCCCUACCAAAACACUUUUGUCUGGAACAACAAGCUUCUUUUCUUGAUUCUUCAUGUCAAUCAUCAGGUAUAGAAUAUGCAGAAUGCUCUUAUGCCAUGGAAGACACAAAAACCAGCGAUGAGGCCUCCUCCUCUUCUACAUCCAUUACAGGCCCUUCUGUCUACAUGUUUAAAGACUCUAUUUGUUCAUCCGGAAGUUCUAGUUCUUGUUAUGCUACAUCAAGCGUAGAACAGUGCUGUUCCAAAGUUGAUCACAAAACACAAGAAGAUGCUGAAGACUUGACUCUCAUGGAAUUCAUUUGUCCGGAUACUUCGGUUGAAGAUCUUCAAGAGGUUCUGAAUCCAGUUGCAUCAUAUAUUCUUUCCUCUGCAAGGUGGAGUGUCGGCAGCCAAGAUUCCGAAGAAGCUAACACGAAACCAACCAUUGAUCAAGAGUUUGAGCAGUACUUUUCAACACUUAUGAUGUAACAACAACAUGAACCUACAUAUGUAGCAGUAUCACUAAUCACGGGGAACCGUUAACGGCAGGAAAGCUUUCAUUAGGCCUUCGUACAGAAUUUUCUCAGCAGCUUUAUCUGACUCAAGAAUGGGCUGAUAGUAAUCAGAGUGAGCCUCCAUACACUUCUCCAAAAUCGGGUAACAUGGACCGAUGCCUAGAUGAUAUGAUCCCCAUAUUUUCUCAGCCGUAAGAGAGAUCGGAUCUUAUGAAAAUCAAGAACGGAGGAGGAGGAUAGAGUGACUUGGAUUAUUAACUGUGCGCAAGUCACUACUUCUCAUUCAAGUCCCUCUGCACACAAUAAUCAACCACGACGUCCUAUUAUAUGUUGAUUCUUCAUGUCCAUCAUCAUAUAUCAAAUGCUAUUCUGCAUCUGUCACAGGGCCUUCCUUCUUUGUACAUGUUUAAAGACUCUAUCUAUGUACGUAGCCCCGGAAAUUCAAGUUUCUGGUCAUGCUACAUCAAAGGAUAGAUCAAUACUAUUCCAAAGCAAUCAUAAAACUAAGUAGGCAGGGUCUUAUACAUUCUUUCUUCUGCUAGGUGGAGUGUGUUAGCAACAAAGGUAUAGCUAAUUUAUGAAAACAAAAGCAAAGAAUCAAAGACAAAUCUACCACAGUCAAGGAUUUUAGUGUCACCAGUUGAAUAAGAUGAUAUUCUUACACCAUUUAAAUUGCAGAUUCCGAAGGAACUACCACAAAAGACCAACAACAACCACUGAUCAAACUCGUAAGAGAACAGUACAGUUUAACAUGUAUAAAUGUAUGAUGGAACAACAGGAAGCUAAGACACUGUUACCAAAAGAAAAGAACAGAGCAAAAGAAGACAUUACUACAGUGGUCAUCUGCAAAUUUUCUGUAAGCUUUUUUUCUUAUGUUGUCUUGUUCAGAGUUUCUGAAUCCCACAAUUGUAAUUGAAAAGGAAAAAAAAAAAAAACUCUUCAAACCAAUGAUAGAUCUACAACACAAAGCCAACAGAUUAGACUUGGAAAAUAGAUCUCAGUUUCAAUUUAGUAAAUUCCAAUUUCGAUAAACAAACAAAGUCAUCGCUCUGAAACCUCAAUCUCUUAAGAAGCAAAUCCUAAACAUGUAUUUACAGAGAAAGAAGAAAGCCACCAAAAAAAAAAAAAAAAA